rnacentral:rRNA from 1 species
CAGAACGAACGCUGGCGGCGCGUCUUAAGCAUGCAAGUCGAACGGCAAGAGGUAGCAAUACCUCCUAGAGUGGCGGACUGGUGAGUAACACGUGGGUGACAUACCCUUCAGAUGGGGAUAGCUAAUUAGAAAUAGUAGAUAAUACCGAAUACGAGCACAGGGGUUAGAGAUCUGUGAGGAAAGGAGCUAAGGCUCCGCUGAAGGAAUGGCCUGCGGCCCAUUAGCUAGUUGGUGAGGUAAGAGCCCACCAAGGCGAUGAUGGGUAUCCGGCCUUAGAGGGUGAACGGACACAUUGGGACUGAGAUACGGCCCAGACUCCUACGGGAGGCAGCAGCUAAGAAUAUUCCGCAAUGGACGAAAGUCUGACGGAGCGACGCCGCGUGGAUGAAGAAGGCCGGAAGGUUGUAAAAUCCUUUUGAAACUGAAGAAUAAGCGUUGUAGGGAAUGACAGCGUGGUGACAGUAGGUUUUGAAUAAGCAACGGCUAAUUACGUGCCAGCCGCCGC